UUCCCUUUUAAAACAGUCAAGAGAUGUUGUCACAUUUUCUAUUAAUAUUCUCAUUCUCUAUUGUUACAUAUUCUAUUAAUAUUCUCUCAUUUUCUAUUAAUUUGUUUAGUAAUUCCCUACUCAGCAUACGCCUGUUAAGGAACCUCUUUAUAGGGUGUGAAACAUUCCAUUUUUUCCUCCUCUAGUCCAGGAAAACUAAGCACAACCUGAAGCCAUGAAUUUCGUUCUGGAGCAGAAUGCAUCCACAAGCAGAUGUCAAUACUGUUCUGCCUAAAUCCUGUUGUGGAAUUUGGUCUGAAAGCAUUUCUGAUCAUCAGCUUCCAGCCUGCCUUCCCCAGCUUUGUGCAUGAUGUGAUCACAACAGCUACUGGAGCACAGAUGGAUUGCGUGUCCUUCUGUGUACCAAGAGCCUUCAUCCAGAGUAUGCAGCCAAAGCGAGCAGGGAUGCCUUUUAAUUUCCUAGAAUAAAAC
rnacentral:lncRNA from 1 species